CAAGCUCUAACAGUGUGAGAUUCCAAUUCUACUGUGAUGUAAUAUGGUGCCUGGGAGGCAGGGUGGUGAAGGAGCUAAGUAAAUGGGCUCUGGGAUCACACCACCUGGGUCCAUUUUGAGCUCUGCCUGUUAGGUCGGGGUAGGUUCAACCCCUGUAGCACAAACACCAGAUGCAUCCUGGGAAAUACUGUUCUCUUUAAAACUGCAGGAGUGGCCCCCGUUGAGAUGGAGGUUGAACAAGCAUUUCCCUAGAGUCCUGUGGUCCAUAGCAUUGUCUGCUAAGAUGCUGGGCUGUCCUGGAGCUGCGGCUGGAGUCAGGUUCAAAUGCAGCACCCGGCAGCACACUACACAGGUGAGGACACCAUGUUCCUCUACUGUUGUGGAUGCAGCCCUCACCAGACGACCGAACCUGCCAGUGCCUUGUUCUUGGACUUCCUAGCCUUCAGAACUGCCAGAAUCCUGCUAGGACAUCUCUGCCUGUGGAAGGAGGGCUGGAUGGCAUACUGGGAAUGGCUUUCUAGGAUGACUUCCUGUUGCUACAGACUACAAGAAGCAUUUCUGGCCUUGAUGUUGUCUGAAUGAAGAAGACAUAGGAGUUUCACCAAAGCCUACAGGAAUGAGGAAGCAGGAAGGGCCAGAGUGAAGUGGAAACUUUGAACUUGAAGUUGGAAGACACUGGUACUCAUCUCUUCUAUUUGCUAGCUGUAUGAUCUUGGGCAACUUAUUUAAUUUAUCUUCCUCCAGUUUACUCAUUGAUUAAAUGAAGGUAACAAUUUUAUCUCAUAGGGAUAUGGGGAUGAUCGAGAGAGAUAAUAAAAGUGAAAGUGUUUUGAAAAGCAUAAAUUCUACAUAAAUGUUAAUUAUUAUUAU
rnacentral:lncRNA from 1 species